GAUGAACGCUAGCGGGAGGCUUAACACAUGCAAGUCGUGGGGCAGCACGGGGUAGCAAUACUCUGGUGGCGACCGGCGCACGGGUGAGUAACGCGUAUGCAACCUGCCCUGUACAGGGGGAUAGCCCGGAGAAAUUCGGAUUAAUACCCCAUAAAGAUAUUGAGAGGCAUCUUUUGAUAUUUAAAGCUUCGGCGGUACGGGAUGGGCAUGCGUGACAUUAGCUAGUUGGUAGGGUAACGGCCUACCAAGGCUUCGAUGUCUAGGGGUCCUGAGAGGGUGAUCCCCCACACUGGUACUGAGACACGGACCAGACUCCUACGGGUGGCAG
rnacentral:rRNA from 1 species